UACAGAGGGGGCAAGCGUUGUUCGGAAUUACUGGGCGUAAAGGGCGCGUAGGCGGCCCGCUAAGUCGAACGUGAAAUCCCCGAGCUCAACUCGGGAACUGCGUCCGAUACUGGUGGGCUUGAAUCCGGGAGAGGGAUGCGGAAUUCCAGGUGUAGCGGUGAAAUGCGUAGAGAUCGUAAGGAAGGCCAGUGGCGAAGGCGAGUUCCUGGACAGUUACUGACGCUGAGGCACGAAGGCCAGGGGAGCAAACGGG
rnacentral:rRNA from 1 species